AGAGUUUGAUCCUGGCUCAGGAUUAACGCUGGCGGUGCGCCUUAUACACGCAAGUCGAACGGUCCGCAAGGACAGUGGCGAACGGGUGAGUAACACAUGGGUAACCUACCGCAAAGUGGGGAAUAACCCGUCGAAAGACGGGCUAAUACCGCAUAAGCUCACGAUGUGCAAAUCCUCGUGAGAAAAGAUUUAUCGCUUUGUGAGGGGCCUGUGCCCGAUUAGCUUGUUGGUGGGGUAAUGGCCUACCAAGGCUGUGAUCGGUAGAUGGACUGAGAGGUUGACCAUCCACACUGGAACUGAGACACGGUCCAGACUCCUACGGGAGGCAGCAGUAAGGAAUUUUCCGCAAUGGGCGAAAGCCUGACGGAGCGACACCGCGUGGGGGAUGAAGGCUUUCGGGUCGUAAACUCCUUUUCUAUGGGAAGAACUUUCGGACUGUACCAUAGGAAUAAGUAUCGGCUAACUACGUGCCAGCAGCCGCGGUAAUACGUAGGAUACGAGCGUUAUCCGGAAUCACUGGGCUUAGAGCGCGUGUAGGUGGUGAAGUGAGUCUGUAAUGAAAUCCCAUGGCUUAACCAUGGACCCGUUACGGAUACUGCUUCACUAGAGGGUAGACGGGGAAAAUGGAAUUCCUGGUGUAGAGGUAAAAUUCGUUGAUAUCAGGAGGAACACCAGAGGCGAAGGCGAUUUUCUAGACUACUCCUGACACUGAGGCGCGAAAGCUGGGGGAGCGAAAGGGAUUAGAUACCCCUGUAGUCCCAGCUGUAAACGAUGCAUGCUUGAGGUUAGAGGUCAUCGACCCCUUUAGUCUCGCAGGGAAACCGGUAAGCAUGCCGCCUGGGGAGUACGACCGCAAGGUUAAAACUCAAAGGAAUAGACGGGGACCCGCACAAGCAGCGGAGCGUGUGGCUUAAUGCGAUGCAACGCGUAGAACCUUACCAGGACUUGACAUCCGGCUAAGACUCUAGAAAUAGAGUGUGCUUCUUUAUGGAGCGAACCGAGACAGGUGUUGCAUGGCUGUCGUCAGUUCGUGCCGUGAGGUGUAGGGUUAAGUCCCGUAACGAACGCAACCCUCGUCGUUUGUUGUAUUUUUCAAACGAGACUGCCAGGGAUAACCUGGAGGAAGGUGGGGAUGAGGUCAAGUCAGUAUGGCCCUUAUGUCCUGGGCUGCACACACGCUACAAUGGUAGGUACAAUGGGUUCAUGCCAAACCGCGAGGUGGAGCUAAUCCCAUCAAAGCCUACCCUAGUACGGAUUGAAGGCUGCAACCCGCCUUCAUGAAGCUGGAGUUGCUAGUAACCGCUGGUCAGCAUACAGCGUUGAAUAUGUUCCCGGGUCUUGUACUCACCGCCCGUCGCGCCAUGAGAGUCGGUAACACUCGAAGUCGCCGUGCCAACCGCAAGGAGGCAGGCGCCUAAGGUGGGACUGAUGAUUGGGGCGAAGUCGUAACAAGGUAACC
rnacentral:rRNA from 1 species